CCCUGGGUGGUGCGAACAAUUAAAGCAUUUGGCUGCUAACCAAAAGAUUGGUGGUUUGAGUCCACCCAAAGGUA
rnacentral:tRNA from 1 species